AUAAUGGAGAGUUUGAUCCUGGCUCAGGACGAACGCUGGCGGCGUGCCUAAUACAUGCAAGUCGAGCGGAACACUUGGAGCUUGCUCCAAGCGUUUAGCGGCGGACGGGUGAGUAACACGUGGGCAACCUGCCCUGCAGAUCGGGAUAACUCCGGGAAACCGGUGCUAAUACCGAAUAGUUUGUCCUCCCUCCUGGGAGGAUACGGAAAGACGGUUUCGGCUGUCACUGCAGGAUGGGCCCGCGGCGCAUUAGCUAGUUGGUGGGGUAACGGCCCACCAAGGCCACGAUGCGUAGCCGACCUGAGAGGGUGAUCGGCCACACUGGGACUGAGACACGGCCCAGACUCCUACGGGAGGCAGCAGUAGGGAAUCUUCCGCAAUGGACGCAAGUCUGACGGAGCAACGCCGCGU
rnacentral:rRNA from 1 species